rnacentral:rRNA from 1 species
GUGCAGCAGUCGCGAAACCUCCGCAAUGCGGGAAACCGCGACGGGGGACCCCGAGUGCCGUGGCAACGCCACGGCUUUUCCGGAGUGUAAAAAGCUCCGGGAAUAAGGGCUGGGCAAGGCCGGUGGCAGCCGCCGCGGUAAUACCGGCGGCCCGAGUGGUGGCCGCUAUUAUUGGGCCUAAAGCGUCCGUAGCCGGGCCCGUAAGUCCCUGGCGAAAUCCCACGGCUCAACCGUGGGGCUUGCUGGGGAUACUGCGGGUCUUGGGACCGGGAGAGGCGGGGGGUACCCCUGGGGUAGGGGUGAAAUCCGUAUAAUCCCAGGGGACCGCCAGUGGCGAAGGCGCCCCGCUGGAACGGUCCGACGGUGAGGACGAAGGCCAGGGGAGCAAACCGGAUUAGAUACCCCUGUAGU